ACCGGCGUCCCCACGGCUGGGUGGCGGCGGCACCGCAGCACCCGGCUGCCCUGUGCGCCCGUCCCUGGGGGGCUAAGGCACUGCGGGGAACGGCGUCGGCUCCGGACUGAGAGGCUCGGGGAGGGAGCCGCUUUAGGAGGAGGCUGUGGGAUUUCGGGGUAGGCUCCGGGAGUCCCUUGCAGGGUCAGAGGGCUUCGCACCUUGGCAUCUGGCUUCCCAGCCCACUCCAGAGACUGGGUGGCUCCACUGAGGAGGCCCCAUGCCCCAGGAACCGGGAAGCCCCUCUGCGCCGUAAGCCCAGAGCUGGGCUGGAACCAGCUCCCCACUCCUCUCUGCCCCGCCGAGAGCAGGAGCCGGCUCUGCCGCUGCAGCCCGUGCGGACUACAACACAAACAUUCUUCCGUCCUCUAUUCUCCUCCAAAUUAGGUAUCCAUGGAGACAGGGCCGGCAGCCUGACAGCCCUACGGCCUAAUCCUGAUUUAGUGACCGUCCCUUUAACAGCCCACCCACCCAUCCACCCACCCCGGCGCUCCAGGCCGCCGCUGGGCGCAGGCCCCAGGCCGCGCGCUCUCUGCCCCGCGCCGACCCCUUUCCAGCCCUCCUCCUCUGGCGGGAGCAGGGGGACCAGCGGGGCUGGGGAAGGGGACCAGCGUUUGCUGAUCACCUACUGGGUGCUUAACACUCUGCGAAGGACCCUCUGAGGAGGGGGUUGCUGGCAUGCGAAUCUCCGUGUAGACCAGGAGAGGGCUCUUGCGGUGGGGAACUUUGAGGGGCCCUCUCUGGAGACCUGGGAGCUCCGAGGGUCCCCCCUGUAGCCUGUAUCCCCCAGGGUGAAGGGGCCGCUGGACAAAGACCUGACGGAGUGGGAGGGGCCUGCUGGCCGGCCCUCGGGCUCCGGACGCUGGAUCCUUCUGGGACCUGAACCCGCAAACCCCGGCUCCCCACCCCCAGGCCUGCAGACGCCCCCCGAGCCGGCUGUUCGCUUUCGCUCAAGCCUCCGCACCAGAGGGGGCUGUGAGGCGGGUGCCCGUCGCGGCCGGGCGGAGAUCCCCGGCUCUGCCGCCCCCUCCCCCCGGGAAGUGACCCUCGCCUCCCACGUACCCGCUAGGGUCUCCCGCCGGCCCUGCCCUCCGACCCCAGCCGAGGUGAAACCCGCGAUCCGCAGCCCCCUCCCUCUCCGGCCCUCCCCGGCCCCGCACUAGCGGACAAAGCUCCGGACACCCGGACCAAACGGUCACCUCCCCCAACCCCGGACCCCGGCAGGUCCGCGGUCCCGUACCUCGGCAUCCCGGCCGGGUCCUAGGCUUCAUCAGCGAUAAAGCCCAGGAACCCACUUUGUCCCAGGAGAAGAUAGAAGGGGGCCGUGCUGAUGAUGCAGGGUCAGGAGAACCUUCCUGAUGUGGAUCCUCCAGAUGUCCCAAGGCUAUGGUGUUUCCACCCAAGGGCAGUGCUUAAGGGUCCUCUCUCCUGAGGGCUUUUUUUUUCCCUUUUGAAUGGCUCUCUAGCCUGAGUGUCAGUAGGGCAAGAUUGGCACUCACCACCUAGCCUGCAGAUAAGGGUUCUGUCCCCUUUUGCAGGACUCCAAAACACUGCCCCCUCCCUCCUCCUAAUGUGGAUUCCUCUGGGGUCUGACGGGUCUGGGGCACUCCUUUAGGUGCCACUCAGGGAAAGGGAAGGGUCUCAGUAGCUCCCACUUCUUUCCCAGCCCACGUAUGGAAGCACCCAGCACCCACGCAGGCUCUGGUACUUGCCAAGGUCACUGUCUCUUCCACCUUCAGAAUCUCUCUUUCUUUCCACUCCACACCCCCAGGACCCUACCCUGGCACAGGAGGAGGGAUGUGGCAUGGCUCAGAGUGCUAGAGUAGCCCUGGCUUCAGAAUUAGAAAGGCACGAUGAAGGGAGCCACGGCCACCAUGCUAAGAGAGUGGAGCCCUUGCUGGAGGGACAGUCCCAGGCUGCCAGCUGGAAGGAACUCCUUGAAUAUUUCCUCAUUGUUGGAGUAUCAGAGGCCCAGAGAGGAGAAGUGACACAGUUGGGGUCACACAGCAAAGCUGGAUCUAGAACUCACUGCACUCUUGCCACUCCUACCUGUCAGGUUCCCCAAGAGCCAGAAACAGGAACUAAGGGAAAGACUAAUGUCCACAUGAGCUAGGUCCCUCAGCAGGAUCAGUGCCAGGAAGCCAAGCCUGGCAUUGCCAUCAGGGAUCCUGACAUUAGGCUCCAGGGUAGGGGGUAUGACAGGAGAGGGGGUUGGACUGAGGGCCCAGCCUGAAGGAAGGAAUUGAUCAUACACUCCCCUGGAGUUCUCCUUCAUCUUCCAGGAGUCCAGGAGUAAAGAAAGGGACAAGCUGAAA